ACAUCGCCUCUUGAAUAAAAUAAGAGGUCCAGCCUGCCCAGUGAAAUUAUUCAACGGCCGCGGUAUCCUAACCGUGCGAAGGUAGCGUAAUCACUUGUUCUUUAAAUGAGGACUAGUAUGAAUGGCACCACGAGGGUGCUACUGUCUCCUUUUUUAAAUCAGUGAAACUAAUCUUCCCGUGAAGAAGCGGGAAUUUUUUUAUAAGACGAGAAGACCCCAUGGAGCUUUAAACAAAUGACAUUUGCUUCAUCUAAUACUUUGUCUGCAAGAAGUAUAGCAUUAUGACCUUUAGUUUUCGAUUGGGGUGAUCACGGAGUAAAAUAUAACCUCCACGCCGAAAGGGUUUAUUCCCUAAGCAAAAAGCUACAGCUUUAGGCACUAAAAAAUUAACGUAAUUUGAC
rnacentral:rRNA from 1 species